rnacentral:rRNA from 1 species
GACGAACGCUGGCGGCGUGCUUAACACAUGCAAGUCGAACGGAAAGGCCCUGCUUUUGUGGGGUGCUCGAGUGGCGAACGGGUGAGUAACACGUGAGUAACCUGCCCUUGACCUUGGGAUAACUUCAGGAAACUGGGGCUAAUACCGGAUAGGAGCUCCUGCUGCAUGGUGGGGGUUGGAAAGUUUCGGCGGUUGGGGAUGGACUCGCGGCUUAUCAGCUUGUUUGUGGGGUAGUGGCUUACCAAGGCUUUGACGGGUAGCCGGCCUGAGAGGGUGACCGGGGAAAGUGGGACUGAGAUACGGACGAGAGUGCUAGGGGAGGGAGCAGUGGGGAAUAUUGCAGAAGGGGGGGAAGGCUGAUGGAGAAAGGCGGGGGGCGGGAUGACGGGCUUGGGGUUGUAAAGGGGGUGAGGGUGUGACGAAGCGUGAGUGACGGUAAUGGGUAAAGAAGCACCGGCUAACUACGUG